GGAGGGGGGGUGAGGGGCACUGCCACCACCCCAAGGGACACUGCUUCCCCCUCCCCCCCGAGAUGCGAAAGUGAAACAGGGGACGCCCAAAAAGGGCCUGGUGAUGAAUGGAGACACUGCUGCUGUCCCCACGCCAGAGGUGGCUGUGUCACCUCCUGCCCCGGUGCCCGGUCUGUGUCACCUCCCCGGUGCCCAUGGUGGUGGGGGUCGGGGUUGGGGGUCAACGCUGGGAGGGUCUGGUGCUGUGUCCCUGUGUCCCCCUGUCCCCAUUUCUCCCCGUCCCCAUGUCCCAUGUCUCCUGUCCCCAUAUCCCGUUAUGUCCCAAAUCUUGCGUCCCUGUGUUCCCAUUUCUUCUGUCCCCACGUCUCCAGUGUCCCUGCCCCACAUCCUCUUGUCCCCCCAUCCUCAAAUCUUGUCCUCCCCACAUCCCGAACCUCACGUCCCCAUAUCCCAGAUCUCGUGUUCCUGUGUCCCUGUCCCCGUACACUGUGCCCCCAUCCCAUAUCCUGAAACUCCUGUCCCCAUAUCCUCACCGCCUAUGCCCCAAACCUUGUGUCCCCAUUCUCUAUGUUCCCAUAUCCUGAACCCCAAACCUCAUGUCUCUUAUGUUCCCAUACCCCAUGUCCUGAACCUUGUGACCCCAUAUCCCAAAUCUCAUGUUCCUAUACCCCAAAUCUCAUAUCCCCACAUCCUCUGUCCCCAUGUCCUGAAUCCUGUACCCCAAACCUCAUGUCCCCACACCGCAUGUCCCCAGAUCCUGGACUCCAUAUUCGUAUCUUGUGUCCCCACACACAUCCUCUGUCCCCAUAUUUUGUACCCCAUAGCCCAGACUUCAUGUUCUCUGUCCCCAUAUCCUGGACCUCAUAUCCCAAACCUUGUGUACCCUGUGCCCCGAACCUGGUAUCCUCGUGCCCUUCGUCCUUGUCCUCGUGUCCCCACCUCUUCUUUCCCUGUAUCCCCAAUCUCAUGUCCCCAUACUCCAAAACUCAACGUCCCCAUAUCCUGAACCCUAAACCUCAUGUCCCUGUGUUUCCGUACCCCAUACCUCGCAUUUCCACACCGUCUGUCCCCAUAUCCUGAAUGCCAUACCCUACCCCAAGCCUUGUGUCCCCACACCCCAAACCUCACAUCCCUACAUCCUCUGUCCCCAUCUCCUGGACCCCAUACCCCAAAUCUCGUGUCCCCAUGUCCCUGUACCCCACACCUUGUGUCCUUGUGCCCUUUGUCCCUAUAUCCUGAACCACAUACCCCAAACCUCACACCCCCAUGCUCUCUGUCCUCAUCUUCUUGACCCCAUAGCCCAAACCUCACAUGGUUUGUCUCCACGUUCCCAUCCAGGCUGAGUCCCCACCGGGCUCUGAGCGCCGCAGCACCGUCUGCCACCGCCUCUGAUGUGUGGCUGAGCGGAGCGAUGAAGGGACAGCAGAAAGCAGCUGAGACGGAAGAGGGAACGGUGCAAAUCCAGGAAGUGGCCACAGGAGAGGAUCCCACCAGUGUCGCCAUCGCCAGCAUCCAGUCUGCUGCCACCUUCCCUGACCCCAAUAUCAAAUAUGUCUUCCGCACAGAGAACGGCGGCACGCAGGUGAUGUAUAGGGUGAUCCAAGUGGCGG